GUGCUUGCUUCGGCAGCACAUAUACUAAAAUUGGAACUGUAUAGAGAUUAGCACAGCACCUGCGUAAGGAUGACAUGCAAGUUUGUGAACUGUUCCUUGUUUUU
ensembl:snRNA U6 U6 spliceosomal RNA